UAUCUCAGUUCGGAUUGGAGGCUGAAACCCGCCUCCAUGAAGUUGGAUUCGCUAGUAAUCGCGCAUCAGCCAUGGCGCGGUGAAUACGUUCCCGGGCCUUGUACACACCGCCCGUCAAGCCAUGGGAGCCGGGGUGCCUGAAGUUCGUUACCGUAAGGAUCGACCUAGGGCAAAACUGGUGACUGGGGCUAAGUCGUAACAAGGUAAC
rnacentral:rRNA from 1 species